UUUCGCAAUGCCCGAAAGGGUGACGAAGCGACGCCGCGUGUGGGAAGAAGGCUCUAGGGUUGUAAACCACUGUCAGGAGUUAAGAAAUGUAAAGGUGUUAAUAGCGCCUUUAUUUGACGAAGGCUCCAAAGGAAGCCACGGCUAACUCUGUGCCAGCAGCCGCGGUAAUACAGAGGUGGCAAGCGUUGUUCGGAAUUAUUGGGCGUAAAGAGCACGUAGGUGGUUUUGUAAGUCAGGUGUGAAAGCCUUCUGUUCAAAGGAAGAACGGCAUCUGAAACUGCAGAUCUUGAGUGUAGGAGGGGAGAGUGGAACUUCUGGUGGAGCGGUGAAAUGCGUAGAUAUCAGAAGGAACGCCGGCGGCGAAAGCGACUCUCUGGUCUAUAACUGACACUGAGGUGCGAAAGCUAGGGGAGCAAACGGGAUUAGAUACCCCGGUAGUCCUAGCCGUAAACGAUGGGCACUAAGUAGAGGGGUUUUA
rnacentral:rRNA from 1 species